AAGUCGUAACAAGGUUUCCGUAGGUGAACCUGCGGAAGGAUCAUUAACUUGCAAUUAUACUUUAUGCUAGAUUCAUUAUAUAUAUGGUCUCAUAUAUAUUUUGGGUCGAAACAUGAAAUAUAAAACAAACAAAACCAAAAUUUACCAUCUGUGAAAAACAAAAAACAAAAAUGAAUGCGAAAAGAAAAGUGUGUAUGCACUUUUCCCUAGCAGCCAAUUGACCAAUUCCACAAAUUAUAUUAACCAAUAUAUAUUAACAAACCAUUACCGUAGCUUUAUUCGAUUUAUAUCUAGUUGGGGUGCAAACUCUUUCUGGAUUGUCGGGUAAUAGUACUAAAACCAAAACCAAUAUUAUUUAUUAAUAGAGAAAUACAACUCUUAACAAUGGAUAUCUUGGCUCUC
rnacentral:misc_RNA from 1 species